UACAAUCCUCUAGCCCUCCUAAUGUUGUGUACGGAGAUGCAUUUAGAGGGAAUCUAAAGUGAUGUAUGCUGUUGAUCCCUUAUGAAACAGUCUAUUGUUAAGGGCUCCCAGCCUGGAACAUAUGCAGUGAUGUUGUCCUGGAGAGCCCAGAACUAGGCCUGAGAAACCUGAACUCUCAUCUACCAAGAAGGAAGCAAGGGAGGGGAGACAAAGUAAUCAGGCCAGAAAGUAACAGACGCUGAGCAUAUAAACAACUUCACUGCGCGCUCCAGUUGAGUCAGUGCCUGUCGGUAAGAGCCUCCCCUCAGAGAAGACACUACAGAAAGGAAUACAUCUAAUUCCAAAUACUUGAGAAGCUGAGACCCCAGAAAGACCACACCAAGAGGUGAUCACAGGACCUCCUUCCAGAGAUGGCCACAAUCUGCAAGAUAUUCCUGCUGUAUGGGUGCCAGCUGCUGUAGGAACCUGCAGAAACCUGGUGUCUACUUGGAAUCCUGGACCAGGAUCACUGAAAACCCCACACAAGAACAAAAGGCUAUAAAUUAUCUCCCUAGUAUAGUAAAGUUAAGACAUUAGGCUGUUAAAAAAUUCUUUUCUCAGCUAAAAAGAGCUGUUCUGGAGUUACUCCUUCCUUUAAAAAGCAUGAUCUGCCCAGUUCCAUAAAUCGAUGAAGGAAUUUUGACUGUUAAACUUAAUUGAUACUGAAUUAA